AGAGUUUGAUCAUGGCUCAGGAUGAACGCUAGCGGCAGGCUUAAUACAUGCAAGUCGAGGGGCAGCACAGUAUAGCAAUAUAUGGGUGGCGACCGGCAAACGGGUGCGGAACACGUACACAACCUUCCGAUAAGAGGGGGAUAGCCCAGAGAAAUUUGGAUUAAUACCCCGUAAGAUAAAGUUCAGGCAUCUGGAUUUUAUGAGAGGCGCGAGCCGCUUAUUGAUGGGUGUGCGUCUGAUUAGGUAGUUGGCGGGGUAAAGGCCCACCAAGCCUACGAUCAGUAGCUGAUGUGAGAGCAUGAUCAGCCACACGGGCACUGAGACACGGACCAGACUCCUACGGGAGGCAGCAGUAAGGAAUAUUGGUCAAUGGAGGCAACUCUGAACCAGCCAUGCCGCGUGCAGGAAGACUGCCCUAUGGGUUGUAAACUGCUUUUAUACGGGAAUAAACAAUCUUUCGUGAAAGAUCUUGAAUGUACCGUAAGAAUAAGGAUCGGCUAACUCCGUGCCAGCAGCCGCGGUAAUACGGAGGAUCCAAGCGUUAUCCGGAUUUAUUGGGUUUAAAGGGAGCGUAGGCGGCCUAUUAAGUCAGGGGUGAAAGACGGUGGCUCAACCAUCGCAGUGCCCUUGAUACUGGUAGGCUUGAAUGUAGUUGAGGUAGGCGGAAUGUGACAAGUAGCGGUGAAAUGCAUAGAUAUGUCACAGAACACCGAUUGCGAAGGCAGCUUGCUAAGCUAUGAUUGACGCUGAGGCUCGAAAGCGUGGGGAUCAAACAGGAUUAGAUACCCUGGUAGUCCACGCCCUAAACGAUGAUAACUCGAUGUUGGCGAUAUACAGUCAGCGUCCAAGCGAAAGCGUUAAGUUAUCCACCUGGGGAGUACGCCCGCAAGGGUGAAACUCAAAGGAAUUGACGGGGGCCCGCACAAGCGGAGGAGCAUGUGGUUUAAUUCGAUGAUACGCGAGGAACCUUACCCGGGCUUGAAAGUUACUGAAUGAACCAGAGAUGGUUCAGUCCUUCGGGACAGGAAACUAGGUGCUGCAUGGCUGUCGUCAGCUCGUGCCGUGAGGUGUUGGGUUAAGUCCCGCAACGAGCGCAACCCCUAUGUUUAGUUGCCAGCAUGUAAAGGUGGGGACUCUAAACAGACUGCCUACGCAAGUAGAGAGGAAGGAGGGGACGACGUCAAGUCAUCAUGGCCCUUACGUCCGGGGCUACACACGUGCUACAAUGGGCGAUACAGAGGGCAGCGACAUGGCAACAUGAAGCAAAUCUCAAAAAGUCGUUCACAGUUCGGAUCGGGGUCUGCAACUCGACCCCGUGAAGUUGGAUUCGCUAGUAAUCGCGUAUCAGCAAUGACGCGGUGAAUACGUUCCCGGGCCUUGUACACACCGCCCGUCAAGCCAUGGAAGUUGGGGGCGCCUAAAGUACGUAACCGCAAGGAGCGUCCUAGGGUGAAACCGAUAACUGGGGCUAAGUCGUAACAAGGUAACC
rnacentral:rRNA from 1 species